AACAUGGUUGUGAGGAAAAUUUAGCAAAAUUUACUUUAAUCUAAAAUUAUAUUUUUGCGCUUGGCAAAAAAGUAGACGUUAGUGUAGGCACUUUUUCUUGAAAAUCUUGAGGAGCGCAGACACCUUUUUCAGACUUUUUACGAUAGUUAGACCAAGAACGAAUAUAAGGAAAAAAUGUUACCACAUGUUAAGUGACUACUAAGUUUCAAGAUUUCAAGCCUAAGUGAAUAUUGGACCACAAACAGAGUGAAGUGAGGAGAAACUAUUUCUGUAGAGAAGAUGUUGCCUCUGUUUUAGUUAAGUUACCAACUGACGAGAGAGACAUCGCGAGGAGAGAUUGCCUGACUGACUUGGAAAUAGCGGUCUGUACAGAGCUCAGAGGGAAUGGAUAUCUUCAGUCACUGCCUUUUGGAGAGCUCCUUAAGACUCCCGGGGAAACACCAGUGGUGGUAAAAUUUCAAGAAGGUGAAAGGUGACACGAAAUGUGAGAAUUUCGGCUGUUUUGAGAGGAAUCUCCAGAAAGAAUUGAACCAUAUGAAAUUGCUGCUUUGUGGAUCAGACACAGAGUCAAAGACUCACACAACUGUAAGAAGGUAGGAGUGAAGGCCAGGAAGGCCUCUUUUGAGAAAUCAGAAAAUGCAAGAAUUGCAGGUAAG